rnacentral:rRNA from 1 species
UACAAUGAAGAGUUUGAUCCUGGCUCAGGAUGAACGCUAGCGGGAGGCUUAACACAUGCAAGUCGAGGGGUAACGAUGGCUUCGGCCAGGCGACGACCGGCGCACGGGUGAGUAACGCGUAUGCAACCUGCCUUUAACAGGGAGAUAGCCCAGAGAAAUUUGGAUUAAUAUCCCAUAAUAUCAAGAAUUCGCAUGUUUUCUUGAUUAAAGCUCCGGCGGUUAAAGAUGGGCAUGCGUGCCAUUAGUUAGUUGGUAAGGUAACGGCUUACCAAGACAGCGAUGGCUAGGGGGUCUUAAAGGAUGGUCCCCCACAUUGGUACUGAGACACGGACCAGACUCCUACGGGAGGCAGCAGUGAGGAAUAUUGGGCAAUGGAGGCAACUCUGACCCAGCCAUCCCGCGUGCAGGAUGACGGCCCUAUGGGUUGUAAACUGCUUUUGUAUGAGAAGAA